rnacentral:rRNA from 1 species
GAUGAACGCUGGCGGCGUGCCUAAUACAUGCGAGUCGAGCGAACGGACGAGAAGCUUGCUUCUCUGAUGUUAGCGGCGGACGGGUGAGUAACACGUGGAUAACCUACCUAUAAGACUGGGAUAACUUCGGGAAACCGGGGCUAAUACCGGAUGAUAUUUUGAACCGCAUGGUUCAAAAGUGAAAGACGGUCUUGCUGUCACUUAUAGAUGGAUCCGCGCUGCAUUAGCUAGUUGGUAAGGUAACGGCUUACCAAGGCAACGAUGCAUAGCCGACCUGAGAGGGUGAUCGGCCACACUGGAACUGAGACACGGUCCAGACUCCUACGGGAGGCAGCAGUAGGGAAUCUUCCGCAAUGGGCGAAAGCCUGACGGAGCAACGCCGCGUGAGUGAUGAAGGUCUUCGGAUCGUAAAACUCUGUUAUUAGGGAAGAACAUAUGUGUAAGUAACUGUGCACAUCUUGACGGUACCUAAUCAGAAAGCCACGGCUAACUACGUG